rnacentral:rRNA from 1 species
UACGUAGGGGGCAAGCGUUGUCCGGAAUCAUUGGGCGUAAAGAGCGUGUAGGCGGCCCGAUAAGUCCGCCGUGAAAGUCCAGGGCUCAACCCUGGGAUGCCGGUGGAAACUGUCGGGCUAGAGUCCGGAAGAGGCGAGUGGAAUUCCUGGUGUAGCGGUGAAAUGCGCAGAUAUCAGGAAGAACACCAAUGGCGAAGGCAGCUCUCUGGGACGGUACUGACGCUGAGACGCGAAAGCGUGGGGAGCGAACAGG